rnacentral:rRNA from 1 species
GUUGGAGAGUUCAUUAAACCUUAUCAUUUAGAGGAGGAGAGUCGUAACAAGGUUUCCGUAGGUGAACCUGCGGAAGGAUCAUUG